CCUACGGGUGGCAGCAGUGAGGAAUAUUGGUCAAUGGACGAGAGUCUGAACCAGCCAAGUAGCGUGAAGGAUGACUGCCCUAUGGGUUGUAAACUUCUUUUAUAUGGGAAUAAAAUGUUCCACGUGUGGGAUUUUGUAUGUACCAUAUGAAUAAGGAUCGGCUAACUCCGUGCCAGCAGCCGCGGUAAUACGGAGGAUCCGAGCGUUAUCCGGAUUUAUUGGGUUUAAAGGGAGCAUAGGUGGAUUGUUAAGUCAGUUGUGAAAGUUUGCGGCUCAACCGUAAAAUUGCAGUUGAAACUGGCAGUCUUGAGUACAGUAGAGGUGGGCGGAAUUCGUGGUGUAGCGGUGAAAUGCUUAGAUAUCACGAAGAACUCCGAGUGCGAAGGCAGUUCACUGGACUGCAACUGACACUGAGGCUCGAAAGUGUGGGUAUCAAACAGGAUUAGAUACCCCUGUAGUC
rnacentral:rRNA from 1 species